rnacentral:rRNA from 1 species
AUUGAACGCUGGCGGCAGGCCUAACACGUGCAAGUCGAGCGGAUGAAGGGAGCUUGCUCCUGGAUUCAGCGGCGGACGGGUGAGUAAUGCCUAGGAAUCUGCCUGGUAGUGGGGGAUAACGUCCGGAAACGGGCGCUAAUACCGCAUACGUCCUGAUGGAGAAAGUGGGGGAUCUUCGGACCUCACGCUAUCAGAUGAGCCUAGGUCGGAUUAGCUAGUUGGUGGGGUAAAGGCCUACCAAGGCGACGAUCCGUAACUGGUCUGAGAGGAUGAUCAGUCACACUGGAACUGAGACACGGUCCAGACUCCUAAGGGAGGCAGCAGUGGGGAAUAGUGGACAAUGGGCGAAAGCCUGAUCCAGCCAUGCCGCGUGUGUGAAGAAGGUAUUCGGAUUGUAAAGCACUUUAAGUUGGGAGGAAGGGCAGUAAGUUAAUACCUUGCUGUUUUGACGUUACCAACAGAAUAAGCACCGGCUAACUUCGUG